UAUCACCUACGAGAGGCAGCAGUGGGGAAUAUUGCACAAUGGGGGAAACCCUGAUGCAGCAACGCCGCGUGAGUGAAGAAGUCAUUCGUGAUGUAAAGCUCUAUCAGCAGGGAAGAAAAUGACGGUACCUGAGUAAAAAGCCCCGGCUAACUACGUGCCAGCAGCCGCAGUAAUACGUAGGGGGCAAGCGUUAUCCGGAUUUACUGGGUGUAACGGGAGCGUAGACGGCCAGACAAGUCUGAAGUGAAAAUCCAGCGCUUAACGUUGGAAGUGAUUUGGAAACUGCCGGGCUGGGGUGCAGGAGG
rnacentral:rRNA from 1 species